UACGUAGGGGGCAAGCGGUUGGUCCGGAUUUAUUGGGCGUAAAGAGCGUGUAGGCGGCCAGAUAGGUCCGUUGUGAAAACUACGAGGCUCAACCUCGAGACGCCGAUGGAAACCAUCUGGCUAGAGUCCGGAAGAGGAGAAUGGAGUACUCGUGGUGAUGAGCGGUGAAAUGCGCAGAUAUCAGGAAGAACACCCAUGGCGAAGGCGUCUCUG
rnacentral:rRNA from 1 species